UACAGAGGUCUCAAGCGUUUGUUCGGGAUUCAUUGGGCGUAAAGGGCGCGUAGGCGGUGCGGUAAGAGUGUUGUGAAAUCUUUCGGGCUCAACUCGAAGUCUGCAACGCUGACUGCCGUGCUUUGAGUUGUGGGGAGAGGUGAGUGGAAUUCCUGGUGUAGCGGUGAAAAUGCGUAGAUAUCAGGAGGAACACCAAAUGGCGAAGGCAGCACUCUGGGGACGUGACUGACGCUGAGACGCGAAAAGCGUGGGGGAGCGAACAGGGAUUAGA
rnacentral:rRNA from 1 species